GUGGGGUGGGGGUGGGGGGUGUGGGUGGGUCUGUGGGUGGGUGUGGGUCAGUGUGACCUGAUCAUUAAGAGAAGUAAGAAGUUCCUGGUUUGAAGUGAAGAAGAAGAGAAGCAGCAUUAAAGCAUCAGAGCUCUGACAUGAAACACACUUUAGUCUGCUUCAUCUUCCUCACAGCACUUCAGGAUGGAAACACUGGUUUGGUCAAAGCACAAACUCUCACCCACAGAGCAGAGGAAGGAGGAAACAUCACAGUUGCAUGCUUCUUUGCUUUCCCUGGAAUCAGGAAACUGUUCUGUAAGGAAAAAUGUGAAAAUGGAAACAUUCUUGUUGAAACAUCUGAUGAUGCAGCUCAGAACGGCAGAUACAGCAUUAAAUAUGAACAAACAUAUAUUACCUCAUAUUCUACUCUGUAUGUGAGCAUCACACAGCUGAAACAGUCUGACUCAGGACGGUACAGGUGCUCUUUGGACAGAGUCUUGUGGGAUGGAAACGAUAAUUUUGAGCUGAUUGUCACAGAAGCUUCAACCACUUCAACACCAAACGGGACUCUGAGACCUUUUUCAGCUUCAGUGUUUCUCUCAUCAGCCUCCAAACCACCAACAACACAGAGUUUAAGCUCAACUUCAGGAAGC
ensembl:lncRNA